rnacentral:rRNA from 1 species
UACGUAGGGGGCAAGCGUUUGUCCGGAAUCAUUGGGCGUAAAGAGCGUGUAGGCGGCCAGAUAAGUCCGCUGUGAAAUCUCGAGGCUCAACUUCGAGCUGUCGGUGGAAACUGUCUGGCUAGAGUCCGGAAGAGGAGAAUGGAAUUCCUGGUGUAGCGGUGAAAUGCGCAGAUAUCAGGAAGAACACCCGUGGCGAAGGCGGCUCUCUGGGACGGUACUGACGCUGAGACGCGAAAGCGUGGGGAGCGAACAGG